rnacentral:rRNA from 1 species
GACGAACGCUGGCGGCGUGCUUAACACAUGCAAGUCGAGCGGUAAGGCCCUUUCGGGGGUACACGAGCGGCGAACGGGUGAGUAACACGUGGGUGACCUGCCCUCAGCUCUGGGAUAAGCCUGGGAAACUGGGUCUAAUACUGGAUAUGACUCCACGGUGCAUGUCGUGGGGUGGAAAGCCUUGUGCGGCUGAGGAUGGGCCCGCGGCCUAUCAGCUUGUUGGGGGGUGAUGGCCUACCAAGGCGACGACGGGUAGCCGGCCUGAGAGGGCGACCGGCCACACUGGGACUGAGACACGGCCCAGACUCCUACGGGAGGCAGCAGGUGGGGAAUCUUGCGCAAUGGGCGAAAGCCUGACGCAGCGACGCCGCGUGAGGGAUGACGG